rnacentral:rRNA from 1 species
AUUCCAGCUCCAAUAGCGUAUAUUUAAGUUGUUGCGGUUAAAAAGCUCGUAGUUGGAUUUCGGGCGUGGAGGUUCGGUCCGCCGUUUCGGUGUGCACUGUCUUUCUGCGUCUUUCUGUCGGGGACGCGCUUCUGGCCUUAAUUGGCUGGGACGUGGAUUCGACGAGGUUACUUUGAAAAAAUUAGAGUGUUCAAAGCAAGCUAAAGCUCUGAAUACAUUAGCAUGGAAUAACGCGAGAGGACUCGGUCCUUAUUUUGUUGGUCUUCAAGGAUGGAGUAAUGAUUAAGAGGGACAGUUGGGGGCAUUCGUAUUUCAUUGCUAGAGGUGAAAUUCUUGGAUUUAUGAAAGACGAGCUUCUGCGAAAGCAUUUGCCAAGGAUGUUUUCAUUG